rnacentral:rRNA from 1 species
GCUUGCAGAGUGCGGAUGAGUGGCGAACGGGUGAGUAACACGUUGGAAAUCUGCCUAGGAGUGGGGGGUAACAUUCGGAAACGGAUGCUAAUACCGCAUAUCUUUUUGAACCGCAUGGUUCUUAAACGAAAGACGGCUUCGGCUGUCGCUCUUAGAUGAUCCCGCGGCGUAUUAGUUAGUUGGUGGGGUAAAGGCCUACCAAGACCAUGAUACGUAGCCGACCUGAGAGGGUGAUCGGCCACACUGGGACUGAGACACGGCCCAGACUCCUACGGGAGGCAGCAGUAGGGAAUCUUCCACAAUGGGUGAAAACCUGAUGGAGCAAUGCCGCGUGAAUGAAGAAGGUCUUCGGAUCGUAAAGUUCUGUUAUUAGAGAAGAACAAGUCAAGGAGUAACUGUCUUGACUUUGACGGUACCUAACCAGAAAGUCACGGCUAACUACGUGCCAGCAGCCGCGGUAAUACGUAGGUGACAAGCGUUGUCCGGAAUUAUUGGGCGUAAAGGGAGCGCAGGCGGUUGGAAUAGUCUGAUGUGAAAGCCCACGGCUUAACCGUGGAAGGUCAUUGGAAACUGUCCAACUUGAAUGCAGAAGAGGUAAGUGGAAUUCCAUGUGUAGCGGUGAAAUGCGUAGAUAUAUGGAGGAACACCAGUGGCGAAGGCGACUUACUGGUCUGUGAUUGACGCUGAGGCUCGAAAGCGUGGGUAGCGAACAGGAUUAGAUACCCUGGUAGUCCACGCCGUAAACGAUGAGUGCUAAGUGUUGGAGGGUUUCCGCCCUUCAGUGCUGGAGU